ensembl:lncRNA
GCUGACGUGUGGAGAGCAAAUGCUCAGAGAUGUCUGUGGGGUGAGUGGCCGUCUGUGUUCCCUCCCUGCUCCUGAUGUCACUCAGACAUUUGAACCCUCCCAGGGAGGGGGAAGGUGCAGUGGAGGCCAGUGUCUCAGCAAUGACCAGGUGGGAACACAGAUGUUAAACGGAAGCAAGACGAGUUGACAAUGGGAGCUCUUUGGACAAUUUCCAAAUAGAAUAUCCAGGCUGAGUGGUUCUCCUCCUGAUGAAGAAUAAUCACUGACGUCUGGAAGUGAUGUUUCCGCUGUUUCUCCUCCUGAUUAUGGGUCUCCUGCUUCCAUCUCCAUCCUAGAUUUCACAACAAAGGGCCAUCUAGAAAGAAGCACGCCUUUCACCAGGCUGUCUUCAGUAAUAAAAUCAGAACCGAAGCUUGUUCCCCCUUUUGCAUGAUGAUGCUGACACCCAGAAGUUUCUCAACAAGCAGAUGUUCCAGAUGUGCAAAUGGAGUGGAAAACAGAAAUGCACACCCACAGGGAAGAAGAUCCACAGCCCUGACAGGGGCUGCUUCACCUCAGUCUCCAACCGUAGACUCCUGUUUGAAAUCAUGGGAGAACGUGAUUGACAGUCCCCUUUGUUUGGGUGUUUACAUUAUAACCAGAAUAACCCUGGUCAACUGAAAAAAAGAAAUCACUUGAUAGGAAUGGCAGAAUGGCUCAGCCAGUAAAGGUUCUCGAUGCCAAGCCUGGAGGUUUGAGUUUGAUCCUCAGGACCCACACAAGGGAAGGAGUAAACCAACAUCUAUAAGUUUUCUCCUGACCUCCAUGUAUGCAUAGGGCAUAUGUGGGACCCCAAAGCGCACAAUAAAUAAGUAGAUAAAUAAAUGUAAAUUUUAAAUCACUUGACACACAACUUAAACAUAGAAAGUUUAAAGAAAGUUACUCAUGUUAACACCAGGAAAAAAAAAAACUAGUACUAAAAGGUUGAUAUUUUUUUUAAGGAUGUUUGGAAUUUUUUGCCAAUUUCUCUAUCUUUUCCAGGCAUUUUUUCUCUUUCACAUUCUGCACUGUCAAAUCCUCUAGUCUGUUCUCUGAACUUUUUAAAAAUCUGUUCUCAUGAAUUUGUCAUAUUUGUCUGAUUUUUUUUCCAGAUAUAUCUCAUCACUGUCUCAAAAGGAAAAAGAACUGUCUAUUUAAUCUUCUUUAAAUUUUUCUGUUUCUUCUGUGUGGCCAACUACUUCCUACCCGAGGGGUGAGAAUUUGAUUUUCUUUUUAAAAUAUCAAUCCCUCUUUUUUAUUUGCUCACGCUUUUGGGAGGAAGAAAUUGCCAAUGGCAAGUCGAUGGGCACUCAGAAAUCCUGAGUUUAGCUGAAAACCAGUUUGCAGAAUCAAUGUCUAGAGGCUUUCUCAUUAAAUUCUUGUCCUGUGACUCCAUUGCUCCACUGUAGCAUACUGUGAGGCGUGGGGCGCUGGGGUGGGGCUCCCUGGGAGAGGAUACACCAUGCCAUACAUGCUGCCCUUGGUUCCAUCCCCAACAUCUUAGUAGAAAAUCACUUUGUCAGGGCUGAGAGGAGUUUAGCAGUUAAGGGCAUUUGCUGCCCUUGCAGAGAACCUGGGUUUGGUUCCCAGCACCCAUGUCAGGUAGCUCAGCACUGCCUUUAACUCCAGCUGCAGGAAAUCCAACACCCUCCUCAUCUGGCUUCUGCCUACAUGUGGUAUGCACAAACUCACACAGGGUCACACACAUACAUAUACAUAUACAUUUUUUUUAUUUUAAAAAAGAAAACCUAUUUUGAGCCAAACGCUGUCUCAAGCAGUCGAGACACUAAAAUGAAAGCAAAGGAUACACCACUCAAGAAGAAUUAAUAAUGUUGCACCUACUUGUUGACCACCAAUAAUGUGUCAGUCAUUAUUCUAGGUACAUGAACUGGAAGGAAUGUAACAUAGAUAAAAGAAUACAAUAUAGAUAGAUACUAUUGUUUUCCAGUCUGCCACAUUCUGGCUUAUAAACUGCUGAAUCAUCUAAGGGUAGAACAAUAAUGACUCAGUGAUUAAAAGCACUUGUUGUUCUUCCAAAGGACCCAGGCUGAGUUCCCAGCACCAACACAGUGACUCACAACCAUCUAUAACUCAAUUCAAAGGGAACAGAUGCAUUUUCUGGUCUCUGUCAUCACCAAGCAUGUAUGUGAUGCACAGAAAUGUAUGCAGGCAAAAUAGUUACAUAUAUAAAUAAAAUAAAAAUAAACCAUGAUGGGUCAUUGUAUUGGCUAGUUUUAAUGUCAACUAGACACACGCUAGAGUCAUCUGAGGAGAGGGAGCCUCAAUUGAGAAAAUGCCUCCAGAAGAUCAGGCUGGUAAGCCUGAAGGACAUUUUGUUAAUUAGUGAUUGAUGGGGAAGGUCCAGCCCAUUGUGAGUGGUGUCAUCCCCAGCCUGUGGUCCUGGGUUCUAGAAGAAAGCAGACUGAGAAAGCCCUGGAGAGCAAGCCAGUAAGUCUCACUCCUCCAUAGCCUCUGCAACAGCUCCUGCCUCCAGGUCCCUGCCCUGUUUGAGUUUCUGCUCUGAAUUCCUUCGAUGAUGAACUGUGAUGUGGAAGUAUAAACUGAAUAAACCCUUUCCUUCCCAAGUAUCUUUGGUCAUGGUAUUUCAUCACAGCAAUAGAAACCCUAAUUGAGACAAGUUAGGACCAGGAUAGUGGGGAAUUGCUGUGACUAGACCUGACUAUGUUGUUUUGGAGAGGACUGUGAAAGAACUUUGGAACUUUGAGCCAGAAAAGCCACUGUGUGCAGAGAGCUCAAUGAGCUGUUCUGCAGGAGCAAGCCAGUAAGCAGUAACCCCCUCCAUGGCCUCUGCAUCAGCUCCCACCUCCAGGUUCCUGCCCUGUUUAUGUCCUGACUUCCUCUGAUGAUGAACGGUGAUGGGGAAAUGUAAGCC